UAAACCCAUUUCCACGUGGAUGCAGCGUCUGGGGUAUGGGUGGCUGUUCAUGUGCCGCAGCCCACCGCCACAUCUGCCCAGCAUGUUUCCAUCACCCACGGGACACCUUGGCCCGGCCAGCCAGGGCCUCCCGUGCCCCCUAUCAUUACAUUGGCGCCAGUGACAUCGGCAGGCUCUCCCACCGCUUUCUCCUGCCUGCUGGCAGUCUGAGAAACACUGGGACGCUGUACCGCCCACCACUGGGACCCCUGGGAUCAGUAAGAUUCCCCCCUUCCCUCUGGCCAUUUCCCACAAACGAGGAUGCUCUCGUCUGUCGACCAUGGUCUCCUGAAGUUCCGGUACCAGCACCAUGUGUCUUGGGCUUUAAGCCCUCCGGCGCCUGUUCCUAUGAGACUGCAUAUGGAGACGGCCUGCAGCCACUCAUUCCACGGCUCUUAGCGUUUGGCCAGAAGAGGGAGCCAGAUCUCAUUACAGAUGGUUGAGAGCCACCAUGUGGGUAUUGGGAAUUGAACUCAGGACCUCUGGAAGAACAGCCAGUGCUCUUAACCUUUGAGCCAUCUCUCCAGCCUUAUAUCAAACUUUUAUGUUCUUUUAUAAAAUAAGAAUUCAUAUUAACCUCAGAAGAUCAAAAGAAGCUAUUGAAUCCACUUUACAAAGGUCAAAAGAACCCCCGAUAAUUUAUAUUUCAGUAGGCUGGCAGACACACUGAAGCAGCCGCCAGGUUUCCCAGCUACAGAUGCCAGCAGAGACUCUUGUCUAUGUGAUGUGGACCAGUUCAGCCGAAUGUAAUUGCUUCCUGUCUCUACAGCCAGCCUGAAGCAGUUAUGGAGGAGAGUGCAUCAUCCUGUGUUUCCUGUUCCCAAGACAGCUUUUUAUGAUGAAGAGACAUGUCAGCUCCUGGCAGCAUCCUGUGUCUCCUCCAAGAAGAUGGAUGGCCGCAGAAGAACUUCCACCUGGAAGCUCAUGGCAAGGCCAGCCAUGCAGUGAAAAGCUGAGAUCCUGUCCAGAUUGUGAAUAAGAGGAGCAACAGGAGUCAAUUGUCCUCUCUGCCAAGACAGCUGUCUUACAGAUACCUACAGAUUCCUGGGGAAAGUUCUGCUACUGUAUCAAGACAUCUGGUCUGACGAAAACUAACAGUCUCCAGAGCCCAUUUUGACCUCACCCAUUUUCUUUUUCUUUUUUUUUUUUU